GUAUAUUUAAGUUGUUGCAGUUAAAAAGCUCGUAGUUGGAUUUUGGUUAAGAGGGCGCGGUCGGCCGUUUGGUCUGUACUGCGUUGUCUUGACUUCCUGAUGAGGACAUGCUCUUGGUUAACGCUGAGACAUGGAGUCAUCGUGGUUACUUUGAAAAAAUUAGAGUGUUCAAAGCGGGCUUACGCUUGAAUAUAUUAGCAUGGAAUAACACUAUAGGACUCCUGUCCUAUCUCGUUGGUCUCGGGAUGCGAGUAAUGAUUAAGAGGAACAGUUGGGGGCAUUCGUAUUUCAUUGUCAGAGGUGAAAUUCUUGGAUUUAUGAAAGACGAACUUCUGCGAAAGCAUUUGCCAAGGAUGUUUUCAUUAAUCAAGAACGAAAGUUGGGGGCUCGAAGAUGAUUAGAUACCAUCCUAGUCUCAACCAUAAACGAUGCCGACUAGGGAUUGGUGGAUGUUAAUUGAUGACUUCACCAGCACCUUAUGAGAAAUCAAAGUUUUUGGGUUCCGGGGGGAGUAUGGUCGCAAGGCUGAAACUUAAAGGAAUUGACGGAA
rnacentral:rRNA from 1 species